rnacentral:rRNA from 1 species
UACGGGGAGGGCAAGCGUUGUUCGGAAUUACUGGGCGUAAAGGGUUCGUAGGUGGCCAACUAAGUCAGACGUGAAAUCCCUCAGCUUAACUGGGGAACUGCGUCUGAGACUGGAUGGCUUGAGUGCAGGAGAGGAACGCGGAAUUCCAGGUGUAGCGGUGAAAUGCGUAGAUAUCUGGAGGAACACCGGUGGCGAAGGCGGCGUUCUGGACUGCUACUGACACUGAGGAACGAAAGCCAGGGGAGCAAACGGG